rnacentral:rRNA from 1 species
CCCAGUUCGGAUUGUAGUCUGNAACCCGACUACAUGAAGCUGGAAUCGCUAGUAAUCGCGGAUCAGAAUGCCGCGGUGAAUACGUUCCCGGGUCUUGUACACACCGCCCGUCACACCAUGGGAGUCGGAAAUGCCCGAAGUCUGUGACCUAACCGAGAGGGAGGAGCAGCCGAAGGCAGGUCUGAUGACUGGGGUGAAGUCGUAACAAGGUAGC